rnacentral:misc_RNA from 1 species
AUGAUUUUUUAUUAUUUGUGACGUACUACGAAUUAACAGAAAAUAUUAUAGUCAAAACAAAAUAAAUCA